GUAAGCUUUUCUGAUCCAGGAAUUUUAGAUUUUUGCAUGUCUUUUUUUCUCAGACCAACGCGGCUACCAAAUACAUGCCUAGAACCGUGAGGCACACAACACUGUCAGAGGACUGUUGUAGCACAAUUACUGGAGUCCAUUGGGGUAGAAAUGAAAGGAUCAGACUUUGAAAUGACAUAUUUCCUUCAACUCCUGAAAAAUCUUGAAACCAGAUAAGAAAGAUGCCAAUUAAUGGGGAAAAUCCCCAAACAUCAUCAUAAGUGCUACUGAAGCUGAAAAUGACCAUCCAAACCACCGUGAUGGAGUUUCUUCUCUUGGGAUUCUCGGAUAGUCGAGAGCUACAGAUUUUACACUUCAUGAUAUUUCUAUUAAUUUACCUGGCAACCCUAAUAGGAAAUACGCUUAUCAUUGUGGCCUUACUUGUGGAGCCUAACCUUCAUACCCCCAUGUAUUUUUUUCUUGGAAACUUAUCAUUCAUAGACCUCUGCUACAUCUCUGUCACCACUCCCAAGUCUAUGGUUAAUGCCAUAACAAACAUCAGAUCUGUUUCUUUCUAUGGGUGCAUCACUCAGCUCUUCUUGGUUAUCUGCUUCAUGUCAGCAGAGCUGGCCUUCCUCACAGUGAUGGCAUAUGACCGCUACAUUGCAAUCUGCCAGCCUUUGAGAUACAGAUUGAUCAUGAGCAAUAGUACCUGUCUCCAGUUGACCGUUGUUUGCUGGAUUGGCAGUGUGAUCUAUUCAGCUUUUCUCACUGGUGAUACUUUUAGGUUGCACUUUUGUGGGUCCAACAUUAUCAGCCAUUUCUUCUGUGGCAUUCCACAAUUACUGAAACUGUCUUGCACUGAUAUGCAUGCUAAUGAAAUCGUGCUUUUUGUCUGUUGUUCAGUCUUUGGGUCCAUAUUCAUCGCUUCAAUAUUUGUGUCUUACAUUCACAUCUUUAUAUCACUGUGCUGAAAAUGCCCUCGGUACAAGGCAAGUAUAAAACUUUAUCCACUUGCCUGCCUCAUUUGACUGUUUUCUCUUUAUUUAUGAGCACUACCAUGCUUACAUACAUGAGACCAAGUCUGGUGCACUCAGACUGCCAUUCCCUCAUUGAUGCUGUGCUGUAUUCUGUGGUUCCUCCUCUCAUCAAUCCAAUAAUCUACAGCCUAAGAAACAAGGAAAUAAAAAAUGUGGUGAGAAAAAUG